GAGUAACGCGUAUGCAACCUACCUAUCAGAGGGAAUAACCGGCGAAAGUCGGACUAAUACCGCAUAAAACAGGGCACCGCAUGGUGAUAUUUGUUAAAGAAUUCGCUGAUAGAUGGGCAUGCGUUCCAUUAGGUAGUUGGUGAGGUAACGGCUCACCAAGCCGACGAUGGAUAGGGAACUGAGAGGUUGGUCCCCCACACUGGUACUGAGACACGGACCAGACUCCUACGGGAGGCAGCAGUGAGGAAUAUUGGUCAAUGGGCGGGAGCCUGAACCAGCCAAGUCGCGUGAAGGAAGAAGGAUCUAUGGUUCGUAAACUUCUUUUGCAGGGGAAUAAAGUGCAGGACGUGUCCUGUUUCGUAUGUACCCUGAGAAUAAGGAUCGGCUAACUCCGUGCCAGCCGCCGC
rnacentral:rRNA from 1 species